rnacentral:rRNA from 1 species
GAUGAACGCUGGCGGCGUGCUUAACACAUGCAAGUCGAGCGAGUGAGUUCUUCGGAACGAUCUAGCGGCGGACGGGUGAGUAACACGUGGGCAACCUACCUCAUAGAGGGGAAUAGCCUCCCGAAAGGGAGAUUAAUACCGCAUAAAAUUAUCGAGUGGCAUCACAUGAUAAUCAAAGGAGCAAUCCGCUAUGAGAUGGGCCCGCGGCGCAUUAGCUAGUUGGUGAGGUAACGGCUCACCAAGGCGACGAUGCGUAGCCGACCUGAGAGGGUGAUCGGCCACAUUGGGACUGAGACACGGCCCAGACUCCUACGGGAGGCAGCAGUGGGGAAUAUUGCACAAUGGGGGAAACCCUGAUGCAGCAACGCCGCGUGAGUGAUGAAGGUCUUCGGAUUGUAAAGCUCUGUCUUUGGGGACGAUAAUGACGGUACCCAAGGAGGAAGCCACGGCUAACUACGUGCCAGCAGCCGCCGUAA